AUAUUCAUACAUUUUCAAAUUUUAAUAUCAAAGUGGAAAACUACUUUAGGUAACAUUAAAACAUAUAAUAAGUACAUGUAUGUCAUAGGUGCAUAUCUGUAUUAGUACGUGAAUAUGCAGUGUAUUGUAGUGUUCUGUAGCGAUGUUAAUGGCAUGUAAUUUCACUGUAUUAAUUAAUUUCCCCAUCAGUACAUAAAAAUGUUUCGUAAAUGUGCAUAUAAGUAUUCAAUAUACAAUACACAAACACGUACCUACAUCACUUGUUCAACAGAAUAAAAUGUUGGAUUCAUGAGACUUAGAGCCCCGCUCGUGCCAUGGCCGCGUCGAACAUAAGUAAAGUAGUGAUUGCUCCUUUACCGACCGCUCGGCAUUUAGAUGUGUGAAUCACGGGUCUUUAUGAUAAUUUACACGGCUACCCAUGUCCUAAAUCAUAAUGUAUCGGUUAUGCAAGAAAAUUCGUUUGGAGUGUUUCCGGUUAUGAGUUAAAAGAGAACAACACGUCGCUUCGACAGGAAAAUAUUCACAAAAACUAAAUAAAGAUGCUGCUUAUCUGGAACCAAAGACGUGGCAAUCAAGGCUAGACCCAGAUAGUAUGUCAACUGUAUGUAUAGUAGGUGCAGAGAAUUGAAGAAGAUAGAGUGUAUUAUUCUAAGGGACCAUUUAGACAGAGAUCGCCUCCAAAAAUGUAUUUACCGAAUGCACCAAAUCGACAUGCCAGAGAACAACCCAUCAGGCAACAUGAUGGUUACAGAAUGAACGACUCUAAGCUGUUGCAGCCGCAGAGACUUGGACUAAACUUUGAUUACAUUUCAAAAUCUAAUGUGUAAUAAAAAUACUAGUUAAUUUUGAGCGUGGUAGAAUAAUUAAUAAAGUAACAAAAAUGGA